rnacentral:rRNA from 1 species
GUCCACGCUGUAAACGAUGAGUGCUAGACGUUGGGGGGUAACUCUCAGUGUCGCAGCUAACGCAUUAAGCACUCCGCCUGGGGAGUACGGUCGCAAGAUUAAAACUCAAAGGAAUUGACGGGGGCCCCGCACAAGCGGUGGAGCAUGUGGUUUAAUUCGACGCAACGCGAAAAACCUUACCAGCCCUUGACAUGGGUAUUUUGGAUUUCAGAGAUGAGAUCCUUCAGUUCGGCUGGAUACCACACAGGUGCUGCAUGGCUGUCGU